CCUACGGGAGGCAGCAGUGAGGAAUAUUGGUCAAUGGCCGGAAGGCUGAACCAGCCAAGCCGCGUGAAGGACGAAGGUGCCAAGCAUUGUAAACUUCUUUUGUCAAGGGACAAAAUCAGGCUCGAGAGCCUGACCGAGGGUACUUGAAGAAAAAGCAUCGGCUAACUCCGUGCCAGCAGCCGCGGUAAUACGGAGGAUGCGAGCGUUAUCCGGAUUUAUUGGGUUUAAAGGGAGCGUAGGCGGGCGUUCAAGUCAGCUGUAAAAUCGCGCGGCUCAACCGCGCCCCGCAGUUGAAACUGGACGCCUUGAGUUCACAACAGGCAGGCGGAAUUCGUGGUGUAGCGGUGAAAUGCAUAGAUAUCACGAGGAACCCCGAUUGCGAAGGCAGCCUGCCGGGGUGCGACUGACGCUGAGGCUCGAAGGUGCGGGUAUCAAACAGGAUUAGAUACCCGGGUAGUC
rnacentral:rRNA from 1 species